rnacentral:tRNA from 1 species
GCCACGGUAGCUCAGCCUGGUUAGAGCACUAGACUCAUAAUCUAGGUGCCGGGAGUUCAAAUCUCCCCCGUGGCA